GACGAACGCUGGCGGCGUGCUUAACACAUGCAAGUUGAACGGAAAGGCCCUGCUUUUGUGGGGUGCUCGAGUGGCGAACGGGUGAGUAACACGUGAGUAACCUGCCCUUGACUUUGGGGUAACUUCAGGAAACUGGGGCUAAUACCGGAUAGGAGCUCCUGCUGCAUGGUGGGGGUUGGAAAGUUUCGGCGGUUGGGGAUGGACUCGCGGCUUAUCAGCUUGUUGGUGGGGUAGUGGCUUACCAAGGCUUUGACGGGUAGCCGGCCUGAGAGGGUGACCGGCCACAUUGGGACUGAGAGACGGCCCAGACUCCUACGGGAGGCAGCAGUGGGGAAUAUUGCACAAUGGGCGGAAGCCUGAUGCAGCAACGCCGCGUGCGGGAUGACGGCCUUCGGGGUGUAAACCGCUUUCGCCUGUGACGAAGCGUGAGUGACGGUAAUGGGUAAAGAAGCACCGGCUAACUACGUG
rnacentral:rRNA from 1 species